UGGCGGACGGGUGAGUAAUGUCUGGGAAACUGCCCGAUGGAGGGGGGUAACUACUGGAAACGGUAGCUAAUACCGCAUAACGUCGCAAGACCAAAGAGGGGGACCUUAGGGCCUCUUGCCAUCGGAUGUGCCCAGAUGGGAUUAGCUAGUAGGUGGGGUAACGGCUCACCUAGGCGACGAUCCCUAGCUGGUCUGAGAGGAUGACCAGCCACACUGGGACUGAGACACGGCCCAG
rnacentral:rRNA from 1 species